UUUUGAAAACUUGACCACGUACCUAGCCUCUCUUUUCUCUCGGUCUAAAACACAAAACAACCCCAACUCAAACAGCAACUCAAACAGCCACUUAAGUUCUGCCGAGACCCACAAGCUGCCACCUCCUCCACGGGAUCCAUAGCCACCACCAGCAACAAUAUAUUCUUAAAGGAAGGGAGGAAAGCUGGUAUAAUAAUAAGGAAAGAUAAUUAUAUUAAUUUAUGGCGUCUUCGACUAUGGGAUCCAAGUCACUUAAAGAAUAUUUGAAAAAAUAUGGAAGUGACAAUCAAGAAGAAGAGAAGAAAGUGAAAAAGAAGAAGAAGAAAGUUAAACCGAAUGCCUCUGGUGUUUUAGUUGUGGAUGAAGACCCUGUUUGGCAAAAGCCAGUUAAGCUUGAAGAGGAGGAAAAUGAUUCAGCUGAUGAAGAGAAUCCUCAAGUUGAUGAAGACAUAGAAGUUAAAAGAAUGAAGAGGCUGGAGCUAAUUAGAGCUCGACGUGCUUACAAUGCAAUUGCUGAGGAUGGAAGUGGUUGGGUUAUAUUAUCUCCUAACCAUGCCAAUUCUGCUGAUCCUUACCCUGAUAUGUCCCCUCUUCAUAAAAGGAAGGUUCGGAAUGACACACCCUCACCUGAGCAUGAAGGGAAGCCUUUGCAUAAUGGUGGAGAUGAUGCAGAUUUGUCUCCUCCACGGCAACAACAGAGACAGCACCACAGUCCAUCACCUGGUCCUGAUACAAAUUUGAAUUCAGAUUUGUCGCCACCCCUUAAGAGAAGGUAUCGAAAUGAUACACCAUCUCCUGAGCCGCAGUUGAAGCCUUCAAGAGAAGCUAGUGAUUUGUCACCACCACGAAGGCAGCAAAAACACCAUCAUUCUCCAUCACCCAAGCCCUAUACAAAGUCCAAACACUCCAGCGUUCUGAAUUCUGAUUUGUCACCACCACGAAGACGUAGGACUGAUCCUGAAUCACCUAAAUUGAAGCCUUUGAAAGAAGAUACUGAUUUGUCUCCUCCAAGACAACAGCGGCAACGACACUAUACUCCAUCACCAAAACCCGAGCCAGAUCUUUCACCCCCAAGGAAAAGAAAGAAGGAUGUUGGGAGAUCAGGAUUGCCUGAUAAUUCUCAUUUAUCAACACAGCUUUCAACUCAGAGUGGUAAUUCACGUGCAUCCAUGGCUCAAGACAUUUCUCCACCAAGGAAAAACAGGAAAGAAUCAUCUGAUCCAGUUUCUUCAAAGGAACUGCCAAAAACUGGUCUGAUCACUGGUCGUGAUAUGCGGGAAGAAAUUAAAACUAAGAAGGAAGCAUCAUUGUUAUUUGACAAGAUGGAUCCUUCUAUAAGUGGACGGGGUGCUGAACCUGUAUACCGUGAUAAGAAAACAGGAGAGCGCAUAUCAAAAAAUGAUUACUUGAAAUCAAAACAAAAAGUAGAGGAAAAACCCAAGGAAAAGAAGUUAGAGUGGGGAAAGGGCUUGGCUCAAAAGCGGGAAGUUGAAACUAGGCUGGAGGAGUUAGAGCUUGAGAAGGACAAGCCAUUUGCACGGACUAGGGAUGAUCCGGAACUUGAUAAAAUGCUGAUGGAAAGAGUAAGAUGGGGCGAUCCUAUGGCACAUUUGGUCAAGAAAAAGCAUUCUGAACCGGUUCUUGCAGACCUAGGGGAUAGCGAGAAGAUGAAGGAAUCGGGAUUUAUAAUUCCCCAGGACAUACCUAGUCACAGCUGGAUAAAACGAGGAUUAGAUGCUGCUCCAAAUCGAUAUGGUAUAAGACCAGGAAGACAUUGGGAUGGGGUGGAUCGAAGUAAUGGAUACGAGAAACAACUUUUCAAACGGAUGAAUGAGAAACAAGCUACAGAGAGGGAAGCCUAUCUUUGGUCUGUGUCUGAUAUGUAACUGCAAGUGUGUGAACUGGAGUGAGAUGUGUAAUCGAUUUUCAACUAAUGAUGCAAGGAGAUCAACCAACCACCAUCUUUUUGCAGUAUCUAUGUGAAGGUUCGUGUUCUCUGUCUCUGUCCACACUCGGAAAGUAAAAGCAUGUUGUGUUUGGUGGUCAUGAACUGAGUUGUAGUUGAAUUAGGUCUUCAGACCUUCAGCAGUGCUCCGCGUACAGUGAUCAAUUAUGGCUUUGCCGCAGGGGCGCUGCAUAAGGGCGGGAGGAGCCCACGACACGUCCUCCCGAAGUUUAUUCUGAUUCCCAUAAUUAUGUAAAUUAUUCAAUUAUAUCCCAUAAAUUUUUAAAAUAGCCCCUUAAAUUUUUAUAUAAUGAGACUAGUUUACUAGCCGCUCUACAAUGCGGGGUGGAACUUCAAAAAAUUAAUGUAAAAAACAUCUAGGCUUCCAAGAACUCUUUUGUAUUGUUAUUUAAUCUGCUUCAACAAGUUAAUAUUGAAACCU